GAUGAACGCUAGCGUUAGGCUUAACACAUGCAAGUCGAGGGGCAGCAUGGUCUUAGCUUGCUAAGACUGAUGGCGACCGGCGCACGGGUGCGUAACGCGUAUGCAACUUGCCUCACAGAGGGGGAUAACCCGUCGAAAGACGGACUAAUACCGCGUACACUCCAUCUUGGGCAUCCAAGGUAGAGGAAAUGAAAUUCGCUGUGAGAUAGGCAUGCGUCCCAUUAGCUAGUUGGUGAGGUAACGGCUCACCAAGGCGACGAUGGGUAGGGGAACUGAGAGGUUGAACCCCCACACUGGUACUGAGACACGGACCAGACUCCUACGGGAGGCAGCAGUGAGGAAUAUUGGUCAAUGGGCGAGAGCCUGAACCAGCCAAGUCGCGUGAAGGAUGACUGUCUUAUGGAUUGUAAACUUCUUUUAUACGGGAAUAACAAGAGUCACGUGUGACUCCCUGCAUGUACCGUAUGAAUAAGCAUCGGCUAACUCCGUG
rnacentral:rRNA from 1 species